rnacentral:tRNA from 1 species
UGGUCUAUAGUGUAAUUGGCAGCACGAGAGUUUCUGGUUCUCUUAGUUUAGGUUCGAGUCCUGAUAGACCAG